rnacentral:rRNA from 1 species
UAGCGGAGGAAAAGAAACCAACAGGGAUUGCUCUAGUAACGGCGAGUGAAGCAGCAAUAGCUCAAAUUUGAAAUCUGGCGUCUUCGACGUCCGAGUUGUAAUUUGUAGAGGAUGCUUCUGAGUAACCACCGACCUAAGUUCCUUGGAACAGGACGUCAUAGAGGGUGAGAAUCCCGUAUGCGGUCGGAAAGGUGCUCUAUACGUAGCUCCUUCGACGAGUCGAGUUGUUUGGGAAUGCAGCUCUAAAUGGGAGGUAAAUUUCUUCUAAAGCUAAAUAUUGGCCAGAGACCGAUAGCGCACAAGUAGAGUGAUCGAAAGAUGAAAAGCACUUUGGAAAGAGAGUUAAAAAGCACGUGAAAUUGUUAAAAGGGAAGGGAUUGCAACCAGACUUGCUCGCGGUGUUCCGCCGGUCUUCUGACCGGUCUACUCGCCGCGUUGCAGGCCAGCAUCGUCUGGUGCCGCUGGAUAAGACUUGAGGAAUGUAGCUCCCUCGGGAGUGUUAUAGCCUCUUGUGAUGCAGCGAGCGCCGGGCGAGGUCCGCGCUUCGGCUAGGAUGCUGGCGUAAUGGUCGUAAUCCGCCCGUCUUGAAACACGGACCAAGGAGUCUAACAUCUAUGCGAGUGUUCGGGUGUCAAACCCCUACGCGUAAUGAAAGUGAACGGAGGUGAGAACCGCAAGGUGCAUCAUCGACCGAUCCUGAUGUCUUCGGAUGGAUUUGAGUAAGAGCAUAGCUGUUGGGACCCGAAAGAUGGUGAACUAUGCCUGAAUAGGGUGAAGCCAGAGGAAACUCUGGUGGAGGCUCGCAGCGGUUCUGACGUGCAAAUCGAUCGUCAA